rnacentral:tmRNA from 1 species
GGGGCUGAUAUAGCGUUCGACGUUUGGACUUUGUCAUUGUAUUCUGCGAAUCGGAUAUGCACGACACGCAUAGAUAUAACUGCAAAAAAUAAAGUUGCAGCAGCAUUCCGCAGUGUUGAGGAGAUCUUCGCAUCUUCCAAGACCGCGUUUGCACUCGCCGCUUAGUCUGGCGAUCGCUAUGAGGUGCAUGGCAACAGGGCAUCUCGUAGUGUCAUAGCUAUGUUGCUUGCUCUCCUGGUGGCAGCGGCACGAGGAGAGGACAUAUACCGCGCAACGAUAGGCUGUAUUUUUGGUUUGUUUCUGAUCGGCCUCGCGUUGUCAAACACGCAAACAAACCUACGUUCGUAGACGAAUACGAGGGCACCAAGCGGACCCGGGGGCAGUACCCGGCAGCUCCACCA